rnacentral:rRNA from 1 species
CGCGAAUGGCUCAUUACAACAGCUAUAAUUCACUUGAUCUUGACACAAUCCUACUUGGAUAACUGUGGUAAUUCUAGAGCUAAUACAUGCAUUAAAGCUCUGACCUCACGGGAAGAGUGCAUUUAUUAGAACAAAACCAAGCGGCUUCGGCUGUUUUCGGUUGACUCAUAGUAACUGAGCUGAUCGCAUGGUCUUGCACCGGCGACGUGUCUUUCAAGUAUCUGCCGUAUCAACUUUCGAUGGUAGUGUAUCUGACUACCAUGGUGAUCACGCGUAACGGAGAAUAAGGGUUCGACUCCGGAGAGUUCGCCUGAGAAAUCGCGAACACAUCUAAGGAAGGCAGCAGGCGCGAAAAUUACCCACUCUCAGCACGAGGAGGUAGUGACGAAAAAUAACGAGACCGUUCUCUUUCGAGGCCGGUCAUCGGAAUGGGUACAAUUUAAACCCUUUAACGAGUAUCUAUGAGAGGGCAAGUCUGGUGCCAGCAGCCGCGGUAAUUCCAGCU